CAAUAGCGUAUAUUAAAGUUGUUGCGGUUCAAAAGCUCGUAGUUGGAUUUCUGUUGUGGGCAGCCGGUCCACACUAUGUGUGAGUAUCUGGUUUGACCACGGCAUCCUCGUGAGGAACGUUGGUGCGCUUCACUGCGUGGCGCGGUAUUCACGACUUUUACUUUGAGGAAAUUAGAGUGUUCACGGCAGGCGCCUGCCUUGAAUAUAUUAGCAUGGAAUAAUGAUAUAGGCAUGUGUGUCUAUUUUGUUUGGUUUCUUAGACGCACGUGAAUGAUUCAUAGGGACUGUUGGGGGCGAUUCGUAUUAUGACGUCAGAGGUGGAAUUCUUGGAUUGUCAUACGACGAACUACUGCGAAAGCAUUUGUCCAAGGAUGUUUUCAUUGAUCAAGAACGAAAGUAAGGGGAUCGAAGACGAUCAGAUACCAU
rnacentral:rRNA from 1 species